UGGGCGUUUUCCAAGUUUAGAUUCUGACCUG
rnacentral:piRNA from 1 species